rnacentral:lncRNA from 13 species
UACACAUGAAGCAAUUUUCAUUUUAACUUACACAAAUAUGAUCUACAUUUGCACUAUCAAUUUAAGCUGUGAGAACUCUUUGUAACUGAAGCUGAGUUAGUUUUCAUUUCUAAUAAGAACAAACGAGAGUAAGAUGAAAGGAGCGCAUAAUGGAAUAAAAUGUGAAAUAUAUUGCAAAAUAUCAACUGCAGAUUUUUUAGGUUGACAAUGACGGCGGGAGUUGCGGUCCAAAGAUAUCUUCGAAUUUCAUAUCUAGAAAGCUUGUCUUUCUCGUAGCUGAUGGCCUUGUGUAUAUCGGAGAACUCAGUAUUAAGGUGGCCAGAGCGAUCCAGAAAUGGAAUAUAAUCAGCUCGACGAGGGAGAGUGAGAGAACGAGGGACGAGACGCGGAGAGGGGCAAAGGAAGAGGGAGAGAGAGAGAGAGAAGAACGUUUCGCCGGGUGGAUUCGAGGGAUGACAGCCUCGGGCUGGUAAAACCCUCGGGUGACGCGGAUAUUGAGUUCACGGUAACCAUGGAGAUGGGGCCCGAGGGUGACACAAAAAUGAUUUACGUUUCCACGACUACGCUUCUUCGUUGUAUUCUUUUCCGCCCUUUUCCUGAAUCAGUCGAUCUUCCUUGAGAAAUUGUUCAAUGAACGACUUGGGCAAGAUUCAGGAGCUACAAGAUUUUCUCGUUAUACGUUCUCGGGCAGUCCAGACACUGCAACUGAAUGCAAUUUCAGCAGGAAUUUCACACGGAAUUCGCGGUUCCGCGUCGCUGCCAGGCGCAAGCAUACGUUUAUACUGGAACGAUCGUUCAGCAGAGCUUGACGAGAAGACAGCCCUAUUCACUGGGAGUUUGAUGAGAAAACUCGAUGGUAAUCCUGUGCCGCUAUGUUGAAAUGUUGCGCACGUUAGCCGUUAUCGCAAACGUACAUUCAACAAUUUAUCACUAUCUAUUUAAAACUGCUGUUCAGAAUUUGUAAUUUCAGACUUGAAAUAUAUUGGUGUUGGAAAUCUACAAGGUGAGCAAUUGGGACCGGCAAUAGACAUAAACAGUGACACAUUUCAAGACCAAAAUUACAAAUCCUGAAUGGCACUGAUAUAAAAUGAUGAUAAUUAUUAAAACGCGAAUUUAUACCAUGUGCGUUUGAAAUUACAAGUCGAUACGUUCACUA